CUACGGGACGCUGCAGUGAGGAAUUUUGCGCAAUGGGGGAAGCCCUGACGCAGCAACGCCGCGUGAGUGAUGAAGGCCUUCGGGUCGUAAAACUCUGUCAAGUGGGAAGAACCUAUGUAAGGUUAAUACCCUUAUGUACUGACGGUACCACUGAAGGAAGCACCGGCUAACUCCGUGCCAGCAGCCGCGGUAAUACGGAGGGUGCAAUCGUUAUUCGGAAUUAUUGGGCGUAAAGGGCGCGCAGGCGGUUUUGUAAGUCAGAUGUGAAAGCCCGGGGCUUAACCUCGGAAGUGCAUUUGAUACUGCAAGACUUGAGUAUGGGAGGGGGGAGUGGAAUUCCUGGUGUAGAGGUGAAAUUCGUAGAUAUCAGGAGGAACACCAGUGGCGAAGGCGACUUCCUGGACCAAUACUGACGCUGAGGCGCGAAGGCGUGGGGAGCAAACAGGAUUAGAUACCCGGGUAGUC
rnacentral:rRNA from 1 species